UCUCUCCCUCUCUCUCUCUCUACCUUCGUUAAUUCUUUCGCUUGUUCGACUUAUGCACCACCACCAUCAUCCAUUAUUUGUACAUUUCUGUGCAUCACAUCGCGAUUAUCAUUCAUCCAUUUAUUAUCAUCUCGUAUGUGAGGUACCCAAGUGAAGAUGGGAGUGGGUGAGAGAGAGCCAUCCUCCUUUUUAUGUGUCAUAUAUAUAUAGACCACACACACACAUGCACAUUCAAGGGAGUAUAAGAGCAGUGUGCAGUUUUUGCUUUGUUGUUGCUCCUAAAUAGAGUCUGCUGGAUUUCACUCCUGCAUUUCCCAAUGUGCUUCUUGGCCAAACCAAUUCAAUUGCCUCUUUUUCCCCAAUCUCAACUACCUGCCUUCAUAUGCUUGUUUCCUUUAUUCCUUUAAUUAUUCAUUUGCUUUUCCAUAAAACAUAACAUAUACCCCACACCACCAUUAG
rnacentral:lncRNA from 1 species